rnacentral:rRNA from 1 species
AGAGUUUGAUCCUGGCGUCAGGAUAAACGCUGCGGCGCACAUAAGACAUGCAAGUGAACGGACUUAACCAUUAGUUUACUAUUGGAGCGGUUAGUGGCGGACUGGUGAGUAACACGUAAGCAACCUGCCUAUCAGAGGGGAACAACAGUUAGAAAUGACUGCUAAUACCGCAUAUGCCUUAGUAACACAUGUUACAAACGGGAAAGAAGCAAUUCGCUGAUAGAUGGGCUUGCGUCUGAUUAGAUAGUUGGUGGGGUAACGGCCUACCAAGUCGACGAUCAGUAGCCGGACUGAGAGGUUGAACGGCCACAUUGGGACUGAGAUACGGCCCAGACUCCUACGGGAGGCAGCAGUCGGAAAUAUUGCGCAAUGGAGGAAACUCUGACGCAGUGACGCCGCGUGCGGGAAGAAGGUUUUCGGAUUGUAAACUGCUUUAGACAGGGAAGAAACAAGACAGUACCUGUAGAAUAAGCUCCGGCUAACUACGUG